UACGUAGGGUGCAAGCGUUGUCCGGAAUUAUUGGGCGUAAAGAGCUCGUAGGCGGUUUGUCGCGUCGAAUGUGAAAACCCGGGGCUCAACCCCGGGCCUGCAUUCGAUACGGGCAGACUAGAGUUCGGUAGGGGAGUCUGGAAUUCCUGGUGUAGCGGUGAAAUGCGCAGAUAUCAGGAGGAACACCGGUGGCGAAGGCGGGUCUCUGGGCAACAACUGACGCUGAGGAGCGAAAGCGUGGGGAGCGAACAGG
rnacentral:rRNA from 1 species